rnacentral:tmRNA from 1 species
GGGGCUGAUUCUGGAUUCGACGGGAUUUGCGAAACCCAAGGUGCAUGCCGAGGGGCGGUUGGCCUCGUAAAAAGCCGCAAAAAAUAGUCGCAAACGACGAAAACUACGCUUUAGCAGCUUAAUAACCUGCUUAGAGCCCUCUAUCCCUAGCCUCCGCUCUUAGGACGGGGAUCAAGAGAGGUCAAACCCAAAAGAGAUCGCGUGGAAGCCCUGCCUGGGGUUGAAGCGUUAAAACUUAAUCAGGCUAGUUUGUUAGUGGCGUGUCCGUCCGCAGCUGGCAAGCGAAUGUAAAGACUGACUAAGCAUGUAGUACCGAGGAUGUAGGAAUUUCGGACGCGGGUUCAACUCCCGCCAGCUCCACCA